CCGAAUUCGUCGACAACCUGGUUGAUCCUGCCACUGGUAUAUGCUUGUCUCAAAGACUAAGCCAUGCAAGUGCCUGUAUGAGUGUUUAUACAACGAAACUGCGAAUGGCUCGGUAAAACAGCAAUAAUUUCUUCGGGGAUAAUACUACUCGGAUAACCGUAGUAAAGCUAGAGCUAAUACGUGCAACAAAAAGGCGAGAUUCGUCUCGUGGUACUAAGUAUUAGGUACAAACCAGUUUUUUUUUUUCUGGUGAUUCAUACUUAUCUUCUGAUCGCACACUUUUGCUGUGCGACGCCCCGAUCAAAUUUCUGACCUAUCAACUAUGAUGGUAAGGUAGGGUCUUACCAUGGUUGUGACGGGUAACGGACCGUGGGUGCGGAUUCCGGAGAGGGAGCCUGAGAAACGGCUACCACAUCCAAGGAAGGCAGCAGGCGCGCAACUUACCCAAUCCGAACUUCGGGAGGUAGUGACAAUAAAUAUCAAUAGGGGGACCAAUGGUCUUCCUAAUUGGAAUGAAAACAAUGUAAACACCUUAUUAAGGAACCAGCAGAGGGCAAGUCUGGUGCCAGCAGCCGCGGUAAUUCCAGCUCUGUAAGCGUAUACCAAAGUUGUUGCAGUUAAAACGCUCGUAGUCGGAUUUUGGCGGCGCUACCAAAACUCCUAAAACGAUGUCUAGGUAGCUCCGCCUUUGUGGAGGGGUUCGCGGUGCUACUUUAUUGAACUGCCGCGCGUCCGCCACUGUUUACUGUGAAAAAAUUAGAGUGUUCAAAGCGAGCGAUGGCCAUGAAUACAUUAGCAUGGAAUAAUAGAAUAGGACCUGGUUCCGUUUUUUAUUGGUUUUGUUGGUAUCAGGUAAUGAUUAAGAGGGACGGUCGGGGGCAUUUGUAUUCCGGCGCUAGAGGUGAAAUUCUUGGAUUGCCGGAAGACAAACAGCUGCGAAAGCGUCUGCCAAGGACGUUUUCAUUGAUCAAGAACGAAAGUAAGGGGAUCGAAGACGAUCAGAUACCGUCGUAGUCUUUACUAUAAACGAUGAGGACUGGGGAUCGGACGUGGCCAUUUUGGUACGUUCGGCACCCUUCGGAAACCAAAGUAUUUGCUUUCUGGGGGGAGUAUGGUCGCAAGUCUGAAACUUAAAGGAAUUGACGGAAGGGCAUCACCGGGUGUGGAGCCUGCGGCUUAAUUUGACUCAACACGGGAAAACUUACCAGGUCCAGACAUAGUAAGGAUUGACAGAUUGAGAGCUCUUUCUUGAUUUUAUGGUUGGUGGUGCAUGGCCGUUCUUAGUUGGUGGAGUGAUCUGUCUGGUUAAUUCCGUUAACGAGCGAGACCUGGGCGUGCUAAAUAGGGCAUGUUAUUCUUUUUUUGUAAUAGCAAAAUUUUUGUGCCCUUCUUAGACGGACUGUAGGCGUUUAGCCUAUGGAAGCUCCAGGCAAUAACAGGUCUGAGAUGCCCUUAGAUGUUCUGGGCCGCACGCGUGCUACACUGAACGGUUCAAUGGGUUUGGUAGUGCGAAAGCACAACCCAAUCUCUAAAUUCGUUCGUGCUGGGGAUAGAAGCUUGCAAUUUUCCUUCUUGAACGAGGAAUACCUUGUAAGCGCGAGUCAUCAUCUCGCGCUGAAUACGUCCCUGCCCUUUGUACACACCGCCCGUCGCUCCUACCGAUUGAGUGGUCCGGUGAGGCUUUGGGAGAGCUGGAUGGAUUGUGUUUCACAAACCAUUUGGCUUCAACUUUGUCAAACCUUACUACUUAGAGGAAGGAGAAGUCGUAACAAGGUUUCCGUAGGUGAACCUGCAGAAGGAUCAAGCUUGGAUCCCGGG
rnacentral:rRNA from 1 species